UGAUGGGCUAGGGGUAUGAUUCUCGCUUAGGGUGCGAGAGGUCCCGGGUUCAAUAGUCUCUGUGGCAAAA